rfam:Acidobacteria bacterium RIFCSPLOWO2_02_FTLL_61_28 rifcsplowo2_02_scaffold_6885, whole genome shotgun sequence.
CCCACGGCUUGUGCCGUGGGCCAGAAUCUGUCGCGCCUCCGGCGCU